UGGGGAAUUUUGGACAAUGGACGCAAGUCUGAUCCAGCCAUGCCGCGUGCGGGAAGAAGGCCUUCGGGUUGUAAAGCUCUUUUGUCAGGGAAGAAACGGUGAGGGCUAAUAUCCUUUGCUAAUGACGGUACCUGAAGAAUAAGCACCGGCUAACUACGUGCCAGCAGCCGCGGUAAUACGUAGGGUGCGAGCGUUAAUCGGAAUUACUGGGCGUAAAGCGUGCGCAGGCGGUUAUGUAAGACAGAUGUGAAAUCCCCGGGCUCAACCUGGGAACUGCAUUUGUGACUGCAUGGCUAGAGUACGGUAGAGGGGGAUGGAAUUCCGCGUGUAGCAGUGAAAUGCGUAGAUAUGCGGAGGAACACCGAUGGCGAAGGCAAUCCCCUGGACCUGUACUGACGCUCAUGCACGAAAGCGUGGGGAGCAAACA
rnacentral:rRNA from 1 species